ACGGAGGGGGCUAGCGUUGUUCGGAAUUACUGGGCGUAAAGCGUGCGUAGACGGUUAUUUAAGCCGGAUGUGAAAGCCCCGGGCUCAACCUGGGAAUUGCAUUCGAGACUGAAUAGCUAGGGUACAGUAGAGGGAAGUGGAAUUUCCGGUGUAGCGGUGAAAUGCGUAGAUAUCGGAAGGAACAUCAGUGGCGAAAGCGGCCUUCUGGACCAGUACUGACGCUCAUGCACGAAAGCGUGGGGAGUAAACAGGA
rnacentral:rRNA from 1 species